rnacentral:lncRNA from 1 species
CCAGGCUGGAGUGCAGUGGAGCGAUCUUGGCUCACUGCAAGCUCCGCCUCCCGGGUUCACGCCAUUCUCCUGCCUCAGCCUUCCUAGUAGCUGGGACUACAGGCGCCCGCAACCACGCCCGGCUAAUUUUUUGUGUUUUUAGUAGAGACGGGGUUUCACCGUGUUACUGGGCGUGGUGGCUCAUGCCUGUAAUCCCAGUACUUUAGGAGGUCAAGGCAGGUGGAUCACCCGUGGUCAGGACUUCAAAUCCAGCCUGGCCAACACAGUGAAACCUCGCCUCUACUAAAAAUACAAAAAUUAGCCGAGCAUGCUGGUGCGCAUCUGUAGUCCCGGCUACUCAGAAGGCUGAGGCAGGAGAAUUGCUUGAACCUGGGAGGCGGAGGUUGCAGUGAGCCAAGAUCACGCCACUGCACUCCAGCCUGGGCAACAGAGCAAGAAAGUGUCUCAAAAAUAAAAUAAAAUAAAAUAAAAUAAAAUUCUACUUAAAAUGUUAUUUAAAAAAUAGGCCGACCCAAUAGUAGUGGGUUAUCGGAACUUAUUA